rnacentral:tRNA from 1 species
GCUAUGUUAGCAAAUAGUGCGGUUGAGUUAGAGUCAACAGAUGUGUUAAAAAUUGGCACACAUGGUA